UGGGGAAUCUUGCGCAAUGGCCGAAAGGCUGACGCAGCGACGCCGCGUGAGGGAUGACGGCCUUCGGGUUGUAAACCUCUGUUGCCCGGGACGAACAAGCCUUUUCGAGGGCUCUGACGGUACCGGGUGAGGAAGCACCGGCUAACUCUGUGCCAGCAGCCGCGGUAAUACAGAGGGUGCGAGCGUUGUCCGGAAUCACUGGGCGUAAAGGGCGCGUAGGCGGUCUCUUAAGCGUGUGGUGAAAGCCCGGGGCUCAACUCCGGGUCGGCCGUGCGAACUGGGGGACUGGAGCUUGUCAGAGGCAGGCGGAAUUCCGGGUGUAGCGGUGGAAUGCGUAGAGAUCCGGAAGAACACCGGUGGCGAAGGCGGCCUGCUGGGACAGUGCUGACGCUGAGGCGCGACAGCGUGGGGAGCAAACAG
rnacentral:rRNA from 1 species